rnacentral:tRNA from 5 species
CGGUAGCUCAGUGGAUAGAGCGUCUGCCUCCGGAGCAGAAGGUCGCAGGUUCGAAUCCUGUCCGGG